AAACCGCGCAGCCCACCCCCCGCGCGCCCUUCCCCCCGGUUUCGUUGCCGCGCCGUCCUCCGUCAUCCCGCUGCGCCUGCCCGUUAUCUCCCCCUCCGUCUCGCUCUUUCUCUCUGAUCCCCAAACGAUUCGCCCCUCUCUGUCCCUAGGUUCGAUCUGAUCCAGGAGAUGGCGACCAACAGGAGUCCAAGCUCAGCGGGAUCGAGUGCGACUUCAGGCCGCGGGCUCGAAGAGGAACGGAGCUCCGGGUCCCCUGUUCCAUACAGGGAGGGGCCACUGCAAUAUCAUCCUGCAGUGCACUGUGACUUCGGCCAGAAGGCAGCUCGAUGGAUUUCUUGGAGCCGCAAUAACCCUGGGAGGCGGUACUUGACAUGCAUGAGGCGCCGGGAGGGGGAUGCGGUUUCUGGGAGUGGUAUGAAUGCGACACCACCACCACAUUUUUGAAGCAAUUACAAGUUGAUUUGAGGGACAAGGUCUGGAGGCUGUCCAAGGAAAUUGAAGAUUUGAUAGCAGCUACUUCAGCAGCAAGGACGCAUGUUGAGCAAAUGCUUGUUCAGAGAGAGCAGUCAGAAAAGAAGAUGAGUGCACAAGUACUCGAAUGGGGGAGAUUAUUAAUGGAAAAGGAUGCCCAAGUAGCUGCAGUCGUUGACAGAAGCAAGAAAUUGGAGAAAGAAAGAGUGGUGUUGCGUUCAAUAAUUUUAGCAUGUAUCUGUGUUGUUAUUGGAAUGCUAAUUAAGUAGUAUGGUUGGUGUGAGUGUUUGCUAGGUUCAGUGGUAGAUUAAUGCUAGCUCCAGUCGUGUGUGUGUGCUCCUUGGAUUAGUCCAAGCUUGUAAGGUCCAGGAGAUUAUUAAUGGAUGACUGCUAUUUUGUAUGGUUGAUAUGAGGAAACCAAGAUGCAAUAUGCUCA